GAGAUCCUUUCGCUUUCUACCUAUCGCAGGUGGUGCACAUUGAGAUAAACGAGUUGGAAAAAAAUGUGGCGAUGCGCCUUGGUGCUCUUAUAUGUGAUUGCCUUUCUGUGGUUUAGCGACGCACUUCUCUGCGGCAACAUUAAGAGAAGGUCUGAGGAUGGCAGAGUCCUCCAAGAAGUACAAAAGAUCGACCCUCAUAUAUCCUUGAAUAGACUUGCAUCAUUGCCACAAUCAGGAUUCAGACAUGAACCUUGCAAGGGAGCAGCGGGAACAGACGAAACCGCCCAACUUCUUCGAGUACGUGUGUCCGGAAGAGUACAACCAUCUAUCUCGCCUGUGGAGAAUGCGGCGUUAACCUCACUUUUGACGAAAAUUGUAACCCGUGAACUAUCACAUUGUGUACUGGUGCUGCUGUGGGAUGAAGUGUAUGCACGCACGCCUCUCAUCGACACACUGGUUCACCUUCCAAACCCAAAACAGGUAGUCGAGGUGUCGGACGUUAAAAAAUUAGGUCAGCUGCUGUGGCGAGCAGAACAGUGCCGAGGUUACCUCCUCCUACUGAAAGAUGCUUCGGCCCUCAUGCAUCUUGCUGAGCACACCCCUCAUGAUGCC